rnacentral:rRNA from 1 species
CUUGUUUCAAUGGUUAAGCCAUGCAUGUGUCAGAAUAUGUCUGUACAGACAAAUCUGCGGACGGCUCAUUACAACAGCAGUCACAUAUUUGACGUUUUGGAUACGGAUAUCCGUGGGAAACCAAGGUUAAUACGAGUGAAAACCGAGGCUGUGUCUCGCGGUGCUUCCUGCUUUGUAAACCGAACGCGCUUUGCGUGUGCGUAGAAUCGCAGGAAUCUUUCGAGUCGAAAAAUCGAUGCGUCAUUUUGGUUUCUGACCUUUCAGCCUUCGACGGUAGGGUAUUGGCCUACCGUAGCUUUGACGGGUAACGGGGAAUUAGGGUUUGAUUCCGGAGAGGGAGCCUGAGAAAUGGCUACCACGUCUAAGGAUGGCAGCAGGCGCGCAAAUUGUCCAAUCCUAAUUCAGGGAGACAGUGACAAAAAAUAGCAACUCAAAGCAAACGCUUUGCAGAUUGCAAUGAUGUUCGGCUAAAGCUCGUUC